rnacentral:rRNA from 1 species
UACAGAGGUCUCAAGCGUUGUUCGGAUUCAUUGGGCGUAAAGGGUGCGUAGGCGGCGCGGUAAGUCGGGUGUGAAAUCUCGGAGCUUAACUCCGAAACUGCAUUCGAUACUGCCGCGCUUGAGGACUGGAGAGGAGACUGGAAUUUACGGUGUAGCGGUGAAAUGCGUAGAUAAUCGUAAGGAAGACCGAGUGGCGAAGGCGGGU